rnacentral:rRNA from 1 species
UUCCUACGGGGGGCUGCAGUGGGGAAUUUUGGACAAUGGGCGCAAGCCUGAUCCAGCAAUGCCGCGUGCAGGAAGAAGGCCUUCGGGUUGUAAACUGCUUUUGUCAGGGAAGAAAUCUUCUGGGCUAAUACCCCGGGAGGAUGACGGUACCUGAAGAAUAAGCACCGGCUAACUACGUGCCAGCAGCCGCGGUAAUACGUAGGGUGCGAGCGUUAAUCGGAAUUACUGGGCGUAAAGCGUGCGCAGGCGGCUUUGCAAGACAGAUGUGAAAUCCCCGGGCUCAACCUGGGAACUGCAUUUGUGACUGCAAGGCUAGAGUACGGCAGAGGGGGAUGGAAUUCCGCGUGUAGCAGUGAAAUGCGUAGAUAUGCGGAGGAACACCAAUGGCGAAGGCAAUCCCCUGGGCCUGUACUGACGCUCAUGCACGAAAGCGUGGGGAGCAAACAGGAUUAGAUACCCCAGUAGUC